rnacentral:rRNA from 1 species
UAGUCCACGCCGUAAACGAUGGUCACUAGCUGUUCGGACUUCGGUCUGAGUGGCUAAGCGAAAGUGAUAAGUGACCCACCUGGGGAGUACGUUCGCAAGAAUGAAACUCAAAGGAAUUGACGGGGGCCCGCACAAGCGGUGGAGCAUGUGGUUUAAUUCGAUGAUACGCGAGAAACCUUACCAGGGCUUAAAUGCAGUCUGACAGCUUUAGAGAUAGAGUUUUCUCGGACAGAUUGCAAGGUGCUGCAUGGUUGUCGUCAGCUCGUGCCGUGAGGUGUCAGGUUAAGUCCUAUAACGAGCCGCAACCCCUGUUGUUAGUUGCCAGCGAGUAAUGUCGGGAACUCUAGCAAGACUGCCGGUGCAAACCGUGAGGAAGGUGGGGAUGACGUCAAAUCAUCACGGCCCUUACGUCCUGGGCUACACACGUGCUACAAUGGUAGGGACAGAGAGCAGCCACUGCGCGAGCAGGAGCGAAUCUAUAACCCGUAUCACAGUUAC